CGUAGGGUGCAAGCGUUAAUCGGAAUUACUGGGCGUAAAGGGUGCGCAGGCGGCUCCGCAUGUCAGGCGUGAAAUCCCCGGGCUUAACCUGGGAAUGGCGCUUGAAACUACGGGGCUGGAGUAUGGCAGAGGGAGGUGGAAUUCCACGUGUAGCGGUGAAAUGCGUAGAGAUGUGGAGGAACACCGAUGGCGAAGGCAGCCUCCUGGGCCAAUACUGACGCUCAUGCACGAAAGCGUGGGGAGCAAACAGGAUUAGAUACCCUGGUAGUCCACGCCCUAAACGAUGUCUACUAGUUGUCGGGUCUUCAUUGACUUGGUAACGCAGCUAACGCGUGAAGUAGACCGCCUGGGGAGUACGGUCGCAAGAUUA
rnacentral:rRNA from 1 species